CUCCAUUUCCACAAAAAGGGUUUCAUCGGUCCUUGAGAGACAAUCAAUAUUUCAAUCCUGCAAUUAUAUAUUCAUGGCUGAACAAACGGUGAUUGAAAACGGAGAGUUCGAGGAUUGGCGAGGUCAAAUGCAGAUCCUGUGAGGCAUGGCGGUGUUACUGCUGCAAGCAUUCCUGUGUGGUUGAGGUGUUAGAGAACAUGGUGUUCUUAUUCAACGCCACGAACUUCGUCGCCUAUUUGCUCAACUCAAUGCAUUACUCCGCCGCGGAAUCUACCAACAUGGUCACUAAUUGCAUGGGAAGCUCCUUUUUGCUGACGCUAUUUGGAGGUUUCAUCAGUGAUUCUUUCCUCACAAGAUUCAACACAUUCAUCAUCUUUUGCACUCUUGAGUUAUCGGUAUAUACUUUCGUUUAUGUUAAUGUUAUCAUUUUGAUGAUAAAAUUGAAGUAAAACCCGAAGGAAUUUUCUAUUCAGGGACUCGUCCUGCUGACAAUUCAAGCUAAAAAGAGCCGAUUGUUUCCGGCUAUAAACAGCAAGCCUUCGAAGACCCAAGAGGCAAUCCUUUAUGCCGGACUUUACGCGAUAGCUGCCGGUGUUCGUGGCGUUAAGGCUGCCUUGCCUGCUCAUGGUGCUGAUCAGCUUAACCACAGCAACCAGCGUCUUAUCUCUUCCUUCUUCAAUUGGUUCUUCUUUUCACUAUGUUUCGGUGGCCUCAUUGC